CCCCGGCCUGGAGGUGCCGGGUCUGUGGUUCCCAGAGGGCCGGGAGCGAGGCCGGGCGGAGACACGGUGCCAGGUUCCUGGGGAAAGCGGGGCUGUAGCCCUGGCGGCCCGAGUAGAACCGAGCCCUCUCCGAGUGCCACGUCUCCAAGAAACCCCCUCCUUACUCUUGGACAACACUCCGCCUCCGCCCCGGACUCCGUCCCCCAAACCACCCCAUGAGUGCUGGAGAGCCUUUAGAACGUCUUGUUGCUGCUCUUUAUUGCUGGUUUAUUGCUCCUAGUCCCUGCUACCUCCUCAGCGCGUGCCCCACCUCUUGUUUUGGCAUCUUUCAAAAAGAUGUACAAAGGCACAGAGAGAAGAACAGGUGAAGAUGCUAGAAAGCCACCAAGUACAAGCUGAGAGAGACCUUGGGGAAGAAGUCCUGCUAACACUCUGAUGUUAGGGGUAUAGCUUCCAAAGUUGUCAAUAAAUACAACUUGUAUUUA